rnacentral:rRNA from 2 species
UACGAAGGGGGCUAGCGUUGCUCGGAAUGACUGGGCGUAAAGGGCGCGUAGGCGGAUGGCACAGUCAGAUGUGAAAUUCCCGGGCUUAACCUGGGGGCUGCAUUUGAUACGUGUUGUCUAGAGUGAGGAAGAGGGUCGUGGAAUUCCCAGUGUAGAGGUGAAAUUCGUAGAUAUUGGGAAGAACACCGGUGGCGAAGGCGGCGACCUGGUCCUUGACUGACGCUGAGGCGCGAAAGCGUGGGGAGCAAACAGG